UUUUAUUAUAUUUGUUUUCCAUUGUCAUGCCAUAAGAUGCGGAGAACGGGAACGUGCAGCCCGGGCAGAGAUCCACGUUGCCCGGUAAGGCAGUAUUAAAACAAGGUGUUACCAAGUCCAUGUACUCUCCGUUAGCGUAUGGGCUAGUUCUUAUACCGGGCCCCCAGCCAUGCUGACUAUCGGCACGGGUCGAAUAACACACAAGCUCAUCGUCAGUGUUGUGGCUUCGCGAACACCCGCUUUCUGUCAGGUACUGCUUAUUCUCGGUACCUGGGGAUGCCCGCUUAUUCGCAGCUGACCUACCUACCGAGAUAGGUCCUUAGCUAUCCACAGCCUGCGGACGACGCCACAAUAACAGUUCUACAGUGGCGGUGCGAUUGCAAGAUAGUGGAAUCACUCGUCAUUGAAGGAUAUCGUCCAGGCGCUGAUCCAGAAUUCGCUAUCUGGAGCGGAAUGUUUCGUUUGUUGAUGGUUUAGAAACUUUUUUGUUUACGUAUACGCAGAUCUACCUAAGAUGAAAGCGAGGUUCGGAGAGGCAAAGACUCCGAACAAUAAAAGUACUUGGAGAAGAGAAGGACGAAGGCGAGAGUGAUCAGUCCCAAACCACGACUCGGAUAACGGAAGAGUUCGGCGCCAGCAAAAAUAGCACCAAUUUCGCGGAAGAUAUGAGCAACAGCAGAAGGCGUGAACAUUCCGAAAGAAACUCAACAUCCAGUACAACAACAACAGCACGGCCAACGUCGGGUCGCUUACAUCCCACGAUCCCGUCAUUCAUCAGUAGAAAGAUCACCCGAAACCUCGCUGCCUAUGCGCAGAGGUAACCAUUGGGGCCCGCAUUAAUCAAAAUUUUCACGAAGGGAGGGGGAGGUGUGAGGCGAAAAAGGAAAAAAAAAUAUAUACACGAAAAUUUCAAAAAAUAAUAUGUUAAGCCAACAAAUAUGGAGCAAACAA